CCCUAUGGAGCUUAAAUUUAACACCCACAUUUUAUACUACAACUCCCCAGAGCAUAACAUCCUAACACCUGGGUACACAAUUUUGGUUGGGGUGACCUCGGAGCACAAACCAACCUCCGAGAAUUCUUCACUUAGACUCUACCAGUCAAAGUUCACAAACAUUACAUAUACAUUGACCCAAAUAUUGAUCAACGGAACAAGUUACCCUAGGGAUAACAGCGCA
rnacentral:rRNA from 1 species